rnacentral:rRNA from 1 species
AUUGAACGCUGGCGGCAGGCCUAACACAUGCAAGUCGAGCGAGCGGCGGACGGGUGAGUAAUGUAUGGGUACCGGCAGAUGGAGGGGGAUAACUGCUGGAAACGCUAACUAAUACCGCGUCUUAUCGGAUCACCCCGAUGGGAUUAGCUAGUGGGUGAGGUAAUGGCCAACCAAGGCGACGAUCCCUAGCUGGUCUGAGAGGAGGAUCAGCCACACUGGGACUGAGACACGGCCCAGACUCCUACGGAGGCAGCAGUGGGGAAUAUUGGACAAUGGGCGCAAGCCUGAUGCAGCCAUGCCGCGUGUAUGAAGAAGGCCUUAGGGUUGUAAAGUACUUUCAGUCGGGAGGCGUUACCGACAGAAGAAGCACCGGCUAACUCCGUGCCAGCCGCCGCGGUAAUAC